rnacentral:tRNA from 1 species
GCCGAAGUGGUGGAAUUGGUAGACACGCUGUGUUCAGGGCGCAGUGUCUUAACGGGCGUGGGGGUUCAAAUCCCCCCUUCGGCA